rnacentral:rRNA from 1 species
CCUACGGGGGGCUGCAGUGAGGAAUAUUGGUCAAUGGACGCAAGUCUGAACCAGCCAUGCCGCGUGCAGGAAGACGGCUCUAUGGGUUGUAAACUGCUUUUGUACGAGGGUAAACGGAGAUACGCGUAUCUGUCUGAAAGUAUCUUACGAAUAAGGAUCGGCUAACUCCGUGCCAGCAGCCGCGGUAAUACGGAGGAUCCCAGCGUUAUCCGGAUUUAUUGGGUUUAAAGGGUGCGUAGGCGGUCGGAUAAGUUAGGGGUGAAAUGUCGAGGCUCAACUGCGGAAUUGCAUCUGAUACUGGUCGCCUAGAGAGUAGUUGCGGGAGGCGGAAUGUAUGGUGUAGCGGUGAAAUGCUUAGAGAUCAUACAGAACCCCGAUUGCGAAGGCAGCUUACUAAGCUACUUCUGACGUUGAGGCACGAAAGCGUGGGGAGCAAACAGGAUUAGAUACCCCUGUAGUC